UUAAAAGCCUUUAAAGAAACAUCCAUUUCAUGUGGCUAAAAACUCUUUGUAAACUGGAUAGUUAGUGAUAGAGUGAAAUUUCUACGUGGCCAUGGCGUUCAAUAAAUCGAACGCGACGCACACAAAUAAAAAAAAAGUACAGGUUGUUAAUUUAGCCGCUCGCGGUCUUGAGAUGCUUUGGUUGCCGGAAAGAAUUUAACUAACCUAUAUUAUUUGCUUUCAUUUAAAGUUUUUUUGUAAAUCGCGAUGAAAUUGAAAGCUAUAAUCGUUCAAGAGUUAAUUCAUUACAGUAUGACCCACAGAUGAACCAACUGUACUCUGCAGGUCGGGAUGGUAUUGUUCGAAUAUGGAAUUGCAACCCAAACAAAAGUUCAAAAGAUUACUAUUGGCAAUGUAUGGACCACCAUACAGACUGGGUGAAUGAUGUUGUCCUGUGCUGUGUAAUUUCAGCCAGCUCAGAUAUGACAGUCAAGGUGUGGAAUGCUCACUAGGGUUUCUGUAUGUCCACAUUGAGAACCCACAAAGAUUAUGUAAAAGUCUUGGCAUAUUCCCAAAAAAGGAACAAGUUGCUUUUGCUGGUUUUAACAGAGCCAUCUUCCUUUGGAAUGUCAUUACUUUGACUGCACUAACUGCAUACAACAACACUGACACACCUUCUUCUGUUAAUCUACAGAGAGGACUCUCAGAGUGUGGGAUCCACGUAGCUACAACAAACUAAUGAAAUUGAAAGGGCACACUAAAAAUAACAAGUGUAUUGUAUAAGUGUAUUGGAGAAUACACAAUGAAGGGGUCUGGACG